AUACCAUGGUGAGGACACUGUCUCUGUAGUCGCUUAAAUCUUCUCCAAGCUUCAUAUAGAGACUCAUCAUCAGAUUGAUGAAAGGUAGCAAGCUCGUUCCUUAGUCU